rnacentral:lncRNA from 1 species
CAUCACUCAGACUCUCUCCUGGAGAUCAUAGUCACCAAGAAGGUGGAGUCAAAGACUUCAAACCCUCUUUCAUUGCUUUGUCACAGGAAGAGACUUAGUUUUAAGGAUGCUCAGAGCUUUGCUAAUUUCAUUUCCCAGGGAGCUCUUGUUUACAGCUAAACAAGGAGCAGGUCUCCAUCCUAUUUCUGAUACAAGCCAGCAUCUAUUGGGGAUUCACUUCACUGAUGCAGACUGCUGAUGAUAGCCUUUCUUGUAGCUUAGGAUAUGAUCUUCAAGACUGUCUGUGGCGAAGAGGUGCAUCACACUGAAGUUAAUGGACCAAAAGUUGAUUACCAGAUCCAUAUUUAAAGCCUCUGACGAGGCUUCAGGUGACCAUGGUGAUCUCUAUGCCACGAUAAGGGAAAUCUUGACUUUUUGCUGAUGUUCUAGUGUACUAGUCAAAACGUAAAUUUGCCUAGAGAUUAAUUUUGGGUCUUGAAAUAUUUGAACAGAACCCAUAAAUACCAAUUAAACUUGGCUUUCAUAAAAUGUAGUCAAAGUGGUAUUGUUGAGUAUAUAUCUAUAUAAUUAUGGCCAUGAGGAUCUGGGUUCAAAUCCUGGA